UGAUGUGCCUGUUCAUGAUUAUGGACUACGGGCGGCUCCGCCCGUCCUGCCCACAUCCAUCUCCGACAAACCUUGCUUACAACAUUUACACCUGCCAUGUGACGGGCCUGUCAUAGAGGCCUUGUUUAGUUUUUUUAGUUUUUUUUUACAAAAUGGACGCCAUAAUAUUUUUUGUUUGUAUUUAAUAAAUAUUGUCAAAUCAUCAAUUAACUAGGCUUAAAAUAUUCGUCUCGUAAAUUAUAGAUAAACUGUACAGUUAGUUAUUUUUUAUCUAUAUUUAAUGCUCUAUGCAUGUGCCGCAAGAUUCGAUGUGACGAAAAAUCUAAGAACUAAACAAGGCCAGAGUUUUAAGUGAGAACUAAACAAGCUUAAUUCUUAAAAGAAACAGUGCAAGCAACAACCACCAAAUCUCCCUAUCAUGCCAAUGCUAGCUAGCUUGUCUGGUCUUACUUGGCUGCUG
rnacentral:lncRNA from 1 species